rnacentral:rRNA from 1 species
GACGAACGCUGGCGGCGUGCCUAAUACAUGCAAGUCGAGCGAAGUUUUUCUGGUGCUUACACUAGAAAAACUUAGCGGCGAACGGGUGAGUAACACGUAAAGAACCUGCCUCAUAGACUGGGACAACUAUUGGAAACGAUAGCUAAUACCGGAUAACAGUAUUUCUCGCAUGAGAGAUAUUUAAAAGUUGGUUAUGCUAACACUAUGAGAUGGCUUUGCGGUGCAUUAGCUAGUUGGUGGGGUAAAGGCCCACCAAGGCGACGAUGCAUAGCCGACCUGAGAGGGUGAUCGGCCACACUGGGACUGAGACGCGGCCCAGACUCCUACGGGAGGCAGCAGUAGGGAAUCUUCCGCAAUGGGCGAAAGCCUGACGGAGCAACGCCGCGUGAGUGAAGAAGGAUUUCGGUUCGUAAAGCUCUGUUGUUAGGGAAGAAUGGAUAUGUAGUAACUAUACAUGUAAGAGACGGUACCUAACCAGAAAGCCACGGCUAACUACGUG